CCUGGGACAGAAUAUACGGAACCAUGAACUUGGAUGGGAGGAAAAUCUCCACAUACUCCUUUUCUCUGAACUCUAACUCAAACUUAGCAUUUCCAUCGAUUUCAAAUGCAAGCAACAAACCACAAUAACAUUAACUGUCAUUUUCUUUACCAAAAGAAAAUG